UACGGAGGGUGCGAGCGUUGUCCGGAAUCAUUGGGCGUAAAGGGCGCGUAGGUGGUUUGAUAAGGGUGUGGUGAAAGCCCGGGGCUCAACCCCGGGUCUGCCGUGCCGACUGUCAAACUCGAGGGCUGUAGAGGCAGACGGAAUUCCGGGUGUAGCGGUGGAAUGCGUAGAGAUCCGGAGGAAGACCGGUGGCGAAGGCGGUCUGCUGGGCAGUUUCUGACACUGAUGCGCGACAGCGUGGGGAGCAAACAGG
rnacentral:rRNA from 1 species